ACGAACGCUGGCGGCGUGCUUCACACAUGCAAGUCGCACGGAAAGGCCCUGCUUUUGUGGGGUGCUCGAGUGGCGAACGGGUGAGUAACACGUGAGUAACCUGCCCUUGACUUCGGGAUAACUUCAGGAAACUGGGGCUAAUACCGGAUAGGAGCUCCUGCUGCAUGGUGGGGGUUGGAAAGUUUCGGCGGUUGGGGAUGGACUCGCGGCUUAUCAGCUUGUUGGUGGGGUAGUGGCUUACCAAGGCUUUGACGGGUAGCCGGCCUGAGAGGGUGACCGGCCACAUUGGGACUGAGAUACGGCCCAGACACCUACGGGAGGCAGCAGUGGGGAAUAUUGCACAAUGGGCGGAAGCCUGAUGCAGCAACGCCGCGUGCGGGAUGACGGCCUUCGGGUUGUAAACCGCUUUCGCCUGUGACGAAGCGUGAGUGACGGUAAUGGGUAAAGAAGCACCGGCUAACUACGUG
rnacentral:rRNA from 1 species